rnacentral:rRNA from 1 species
CCUACGGGAGGCAGCAGUGGGGAAUAUUGCACAAUGGGGGGAACCCUGAUGCAGCAACGCCGCGUGGGUGAAGAAGUACUCCGGUAUGUAAAGCCCUGUCAGCAGGGGAGAAAAUGACGGUACCUGACCACGAAGCCCCGGCUAACUACGUGCCAGCAGCCGCGGUAAUACGGAGGGGGCAAGCGUUAUCCGGAUUUACUGGGGGUAAAGGGAGCGUUGACGGGAAGGCAAGUCGGGAGUGAAAGCCAGGGGCCCAACCACGGGACUGCUUUGGAAACGGUGUUGCUGGAGUGGAGGAGGGGUAAGCGGAAUGCCUAGUGUAGCGGUGAAAUGCGGAGAUAUUAGGAGGAAAACCGGUGGCGAAGGUGGCUUACUGGACUGUAACUGACGUUGAGGCUCGAAGGCGUGGGGAGCAAACAGGAUUAGAUACCCCGGUAGUC